GCAGACCACUCCUACGGGAGGACAGCAGUGGGGAAUAUUGCACAAUGGGCGCAAGCCUGAUGCAGCCAUGCCGCGUGUAUGAAGAAGGCCUUCGGGUUGUAAAGUACUUUCAGCAGUGAGGAAGGUGGGUAUCGUUAAUAGCAUAUUCAUUUGACGUUAGCUGCAGAAGAAGCACCGGCUAACUCCGUGCCAGCAGCCGCGGUAAUACGGAGGGUGCGAGCGUUUAAUCGGAAUUACUGGGCGUAAAGCGCAUGCAGGUGGUUUGUUAAGUCAGAUGUGAAAGCCCGGGGCUCAACCUCGGAAUUGCAUUUGAAAACUGGACAAACUAGAGUACUGUAGAGGGGGUAGAAUUUCAGGUGUAGCGGUGAAAUGCGUAGAGAUCUGAAGGAAUACCGGUGGCGAAGGCGGCCCCCUGGACAGAUACUGACACUCAGAUGCGAAAGCGUGGGGAGCAAACAGGAUUAGAUACCCUGGUAG
rnacentral:rRNA from 1 species